rnacentral:rRNA from 1 species
ACACAUGCAAGUCGAACGAGAGAUGAGGAGCUUGCUCUUCAAAUCGAGUGGCGAACGGGUGAGUAACGCGUGAGGAACCUGCCUCAAAGAGGGGGACAACAGUUGGAAACGACUGCUAAUACCGCAUAAGCCCACGGCUCGGCAUCGAGCAGAGGGAAAAGGAGUGAUCCGCUUUGAGAUGGCCUCGCGUCCGAUUAGCUAGUUGGUGAGGUAAUGGCCCACCAAGGCGACGAUCGGUAGCCGGACUGAGAGGUUGAACGGCCACAUUGGGACUGAGACACGGCCCAGACUCCUACGGGAGGCAGCAGUGGGGAAUAUUGCACAAUGGGGGAAACCCUGAUGCAGCGACGCCGCGUGGAGGAAGAAGGUCUUCGGAUUGUAAACUCCUGUUGUUGAGGAAGAUAAUGACGGUACUCAACAAGGAAGUGACGGCUAACUACGUGCCAGCAGCCGCGGUAAAACGUAGGUCACAAGCGUUGUCCGGAAUUACUGGGUGUAAAGGGAGCGCAGGCGGGAGAACAAGUUGGAAGUGAAAUCCAUGGGCUCAACCCAUGAACUGCUUUCAAAACUGUUUUUCUUGAGUAGUGCAGAGGUAGGCGGAAUUCCCGGUGUAGCGGUGGAAUGCGUAGAUAUCGGGAGGAACACCAGUGGCGAA